UACGAAGGGGGCUAGCGUUGUUCGGAAUUACUGGGCGUAAAGCGCGCGCAGGCGGUUCUUUAAGUCAGGGGGGAAAGCCCAGAGCUCAACUCUGGAAUUGCCUUUGAAACUAGAGAACUUGGGUACGGGAGAGGUGAGUGGAAUUCCGAGUGUAGAGGUGAAAUUCGUAGAUAUUCGGAAGAACACCAGUGGCGAAGGCGGCUCACUGGCCCGUUACCGACGCUCAGGCGCGACAGCGUGGGGAGCAAACAGG
rnacentral:rRNA from 1 species